UACGGAGGGGGCUAGCGUUAUCCGGAUUUACUGGGCGUAAAGGGCGCGUAGGCGGCCACCGCAAGUCGAUUGUGAAAUCUCCGGGCUUAACCCGGAAAGGUCAACCGAUACUGCGGGGCUAGAGUGCAGAAGGGGCAACUGGAAUUCUCGGUGUAGCGGUGAAAUGCGUAGAUAUCGAGAGGAACACCUGCGGCGAAGGCGGGUUGCUGGGCUGACACUGACGCUGAAGCGCGAAAGCUAGGGAGCGAACGGG
rnacentral:rRNA from 1 species